rnacentral:rRNA from 1 species
AGUGAACGCUGGCGGUAGGCCUAACACAUGCAAGUCGAACGGCAGCACAGUAAGAGCUUGCUCUUACGGGUGGCGAGUGGCGGACGGGUGAGGAAUACAUCGGAAUCUACUUUUUCGUGGGGGAUAACGUAGGGAAACUUACGCUAAUACCGCAUACGACCUACGGGUGAAAGCAGGGGAUCUUCGGACCUUGCGCGAUUGAAUGAGCCGAUGUCGGAUUAGCUAGUUGGCGGGGUAAAGGCCCACCAAGGCGACGAUCCGUAGCUGGUCUGAGAGGAUGAUCCGCCACACUGGAACUGAGACACGGUCCAGACUCCUACGGGAGGCAGCAGUGGGGAAUAUUGGACAAUGGGCGCAAGCCUGAUCCAGCCAUACCGCGUGGGUGAAGAAGGCCUUCGGGUUGUAAAGCCCUUUUGUUGGGAGAGAAAAGCAGCAGGUUAAUACCCCGCUGUUCUGACGGUACCCAAAGAAUAAGCACCGGCUAACUUCGUG